rnacentral:rRNA from 1 species
AGAGGAGCUUGCUCCUUUGGCGUCGAGCGGCGGACGGGUGAGUAAUGCUUGGGAAUGUGCCUUAUGGUGGGGGACAACAGUUGGAAACGACUGCUAAUACCGCAUAAUGUCUUCGGACCAAAGUGGGGGACCUUCGGGCCUCACGCCAUAAGAUCAGCCCAAGUGGGAUUAGCUAGUUGGUAAGGUAAUGGCUUACCAAGGCGACGAUCCCUAGCUGGUUUGAGAGGAUGAUCAGCCACACUGGGACUGAGACACGGCCCAGACUCCUACGGGAGGCAGCAGUGGGGAAUAUUGCACAAUGGGCGCAAGCCUGAUGCAGCCAUGCCGCGUGUGUGAAGAAGGCCUUCGGGUUGUAAAGCACUUUCAGUAAGGAGGAAAGGUUAAGUGUUAAUAGCACUUAGCUGUGACGUUACUUACAGAAGAAGCACCGGCUAACUCCGUGCCAGCAGCCGCGGUAAUACGGAGGGUGCGAGCGUUAAUCGGAAUUACUGGGCGUAAAGCGUACGCAGGCGGUUUGUUAAGCGAGAUGUGAAAGCCCCGGGCUCAACCUGGGAACUGCAUUUCGAACUGGCAAACUAGAGUGUGAUAGAGGGUGGUAGAAUUUCAGGUGUAGCGGUGAAAUGCGUAGAGAUCUGAAGGAAUACCGAUGGCGAAGGCAGCCACCUGGGUCAACACUGACGCUCAUGUACGAAAGCGUGGGGAGCAAACAGGAUUAGAUACCCCUGGUAGUCCACGCCGUAAACGAUGUCUACUAGAAGCUCGACUCUUUCGGAAUUGUUUUUUCAAAGCUAACGCCAUUAAGUAGACCGCCCGGGGGAGUACGGCCGCCAAGGUUAAAACUCAAAUGAAAUUGACGGGGGGCCCGCCACAAGCGGUGGAACCUUGUGGUUUUAUUUCGAUGCCACGCCGAAGAAACCUUACCUUACCCUUGAACUUCCGCCGAACUUACUAAAAGAUAAGUUUGGUUGCCUUUCGGGAAACCCUGAAUACAGGUGCCUGCCAU